rnacentral:rRNA from 2 species
AACGAACGCUGGCGGCAUGCCUAACACAUGCAAGUCGAACGAAGCCUUCGGGCUUAGUGGCGCACGGGUGCGUAACGCGUGGGAAUCUGCCCUUAGGUACGGAAUAACUCAUGGAAACGUGUGCUAAUACCGUAUGAUGUCUUCGGACCAAAGAUUUAUCGCCUAGGGAUGAGCCCGCGUUGGAUUAGCUAGUUGGUGAGGUAAAGGCUCACCAAGGCGACGAUCCAUAGCUGGUCUGAGAGGAUGAUCAGCCACACUGGGACUGAGACACGGCCCAGACUCCUACGGGAGGCAGCAGUGGGGAAUAUUGGACAAUGGGCGAAAGCCUGAUCCAGCAAUGCCGCGUGAGUGAAGAAGGCCUUCGGGUUGUAAAGCUCUUUUACCCGGGAAGAUAAUGACUGUACCGGGAGAAUAAGCCCCGGCUAACUCCGUG